AUUGAACGCUGGCGGCAGGCCUAACACAUGCAAGUCGAGCGGAUGAAGGGCUCUUGCUCCUGGAUUCAGCGGCGGACGGGUGUGUAAUGCCUAGGAAUCUGCCUGGUAGUGGGGGAUAACGUCCGGAAACGGGCGCUAAUACCGCAUACGUCCUGAGGGAGAAAGUGGGGGAUCUUCGGACUGCACGCUAUCAGAUGAGCCUAGGUCGGAUUAGCUAGUUGGUGGGGUAAAGGCCUACCAAGGCGACGAUCCGUAACUGGUCUGAGAGGAUGAUCAGUCACACUGGAACUGAGACACGGUCCAGACUCCUACGGGAGGCAGCAGUGGGGAAUAUUGGACAAUGGGCGAAAGCCUGAUCCAGCCAUGCCGCGUGUGUGAAGAAGGUCUUCGGAUUGUAAAGCACUUUAAGUUGGGAGGAAAGGCAGUAAGUUAAUACCUUGCUGUGUUGACGUUACCAACAGAAUAAGCACCGGCUAACUUCGUG
rnacentral:rRNA from 1 species